AUUGAACGCUGGCGGCAUGCUUUACACAUGCAAGUCGAACGGUAACAGGGUGCUUGCACCGCUGACGAGUGGCGAACGGGUGAGUAAUGCGUCGGAACGUGCCGAGUAGUGGGGGAUAACGCAGCGAAAGUUGUGCUAAUACCGCAUACGUACUGAGGUAGAAAGUGGGGGACCUUCGGGCCUCACGCUAUUCGAGCGGCCGACGUCUGAUUAGCUAGUAGGUGAGGUAAAGGCUCACCUAGGCGACGAUCAGUAGCGGGUCUGAGAGGAUGAUCAGCCACACUGGGACUGAGACACGGCCCAGACUCCGACGGGAGGCAGCAGAGGGGAAUUUUGGACAAUGGGCGAAAGCCUGAUCCAGCCAUGCCGCGUGUCUGAAGAAGGCCUUCGGGUUGUAAAGGACUUUUGUCAGGGAGGAAAUCCCUAGUGCUAAUAACACUGGGGGAUGACAGUACCUGAAGAAUAAGCACCGGCUAACUACGUGCCAGCCGCCGCGGUAA
rnacentral:rRNA from 1 species